ACAGAGACUGCAAGCGUUAUUCGGAUUCACUGGGCGUAAAGGGUGCGCAGGCGGCCGUGUGUGUCAGGUGUGAAAUCUCGAGGCUCAACCUCGAAAUGGCGCCUGAAACUACACGGCUAGAGUACUGGAGAGGGUAACGGAAUUCACGGUGUAGCAGUGAAAUGCGUAGAUAUCGUGAGGAACACCAGAGGCGAAGGCGGUUACCUGGACAGUUACUGACGCUCAGGCACGAAAGCGUGGGGAGCAAAAGGG
rnacentral:rRNA from 1 species